UCGAGCGAUGGAUUAAGAGCUUGCUCUUAUGAAGUUAGCGGCGGACGGGUGAGUAACACGUGGGUAACCUGCCCAUAAGACUGGGAUAACUCCGGGAAACCGGGGCUAAUACCGGAUAACAUUUUGAACCGCAUGGUUCGAAAUUGAAAGGCGGCUUCGGCUGUCACUUAUGGAUGGACCCGCGUCGCAUUAGCUAGUUGGUGAGGUAACGGCUCACCAAGGCAACGAUGCGUAGCCGACCUGAGAGGGUGAUCGGCCACACUGGGACUGAGACACGGCCCAGACUCCUACGGGAGGCAGCAGUAGGGAAUCUUCCGCAAUGGACGAAAGUCUGACGGAGCAACGCCGCGUGAGUGAUGAAGGCUUUCGGGUCGUAAAACUCUGUUGUUAGGGAAGAACAAGUGCUAGUUGAAUAAGCUGGCACCUUGACGGUACCUAACCAGAAAGCCACGGCUAACUACGUGCCAGCAGCCGCGGUAAUACGUAGGUGGCAAGCGUUAUCCGGAAUUAUUGGGCGUAAAGCGCGCGCAGGUGGUUUCUUAAGUCUGAUGUGAAAGCCCACGGCUCAACCGUGGAGGGUCAUUGGAAACUGGGAGACUUGAGUGCAGAAGAGGAAAGUGGAAUUCCAUGUGUAGCGGUGAAAUGCGUAGAGAUAUGAGGAUUAGAUACCCCUGGUAGUCC
rnacentral:rRNA from 1 species